GACGAACGCUGGCGGCGGGCUUAACACAUGCAAGUCGAACGAUAAAGCAGAGAAUGGAAGCUUCGGCAGAAAUUGAGUUCGGGUUAGUGGCAGAAGGCAGAGUAACGCGUGAUCAAGCGGCCGAUUACGAAGGGAUAGCCACGGUAAACCGGGAUAAAUACUAUAGAACAUUGCGAGGAAGCAUUGCACUUCACGCGAAGCUACGGCGGGAAGAGAUGUGCUCGAGUCGCAUGAACCGGGUGGUGAGGUGGCGGCUCACCAUAGUGAAGAUGGGUAACCGGCAUGAGAGGGUGAACGGUCACACUGGAACUGAGACACGGUCCAGAGUCCUACGGGAGGCAGCAGUGGGGAAUAUUGCACAAUGGAGGGAACUCUGAGGCAGCGACGCCGCGUGAGUGAUGAAGGAAUUCGUUUCGUAAAACUCUGUUCUAUGGGAAGAAAAGGACUGUACCAUAGGAGAAAGCUCCGGCUAAAUACGUG
rnacentral:rRNA from 1 species